AUGUUGCAUGAAAGGAAAGAAGGUUAGCACACCCCUUGACAAGAAUGGAAGAGGCCCUAGGGCCUGGUAACCUGCACGGGGUUAAGGCACUGCCACCUACUUCAUGGCAUCUAACCAUCAUUUUUG